CCCCGGUAAACGGCGGCCGUAACUAUAACGGUCCUAAGGUAGCGAAAUUCCUUGUCGGGUAAGUUCCGACCUGCACGAAUGGCGUAAUGAUGGCCAGGCUGUCUCCACCCGAGACUCAGUGAAAUUGAACUCGCUGUGAAGAUGCAGUGUACCCGCGGCAAGACGGAAAGACCCCGUGAACCUUUACUAUAGCUUGACACUGAACAUUGAGCCUUGAUGUGUAGGAUAGGUGGGAGGCUUUGAAGUGUGGACGCCAGUCUGCAUGGAGCCGACCUUGAAAUACCACCCUUUAAUGUUUGAUGUUCUAACGUGGACCCGUAAUCCGGGUUGCGGACAGUGUCUGGUGGGUAGUUUGACUGGGGCGGUCUCCUCCUAAAGAGUAACGGAGGAGCACGAAGGUUGGCUAAUCCUGGUCGGACAUCAGGAGGUUAGUGCAAUGGCAUAAGCCAGCUUGACUGCGAGCGUGACGGCGCGAGCAGGUGCGAAAGCAGGUCAUAGUGAUCCGGUGGUUCUGAAUGGAAGGGCCAUCGCUCAAC
rnacentral:rRNA from 1 species